UUUGAAGUCCAAAUAGACCAAGAAAAUAUUGUCUAUAUCAAAUAAGAAUUGUGGACUAGAAAUCUAUAGACCUUGAAUACUCUAAUGGAAAGAGUAUUACAAUAUUCUCAAUUUCAAAAGGAGAUUUCUCUGAUUUGAAUGCAUAUCCUGAAGAUAUUGCUUUCUGGAGAAGAAAUGUGAAAUAUGUGUGGUUGUACUCUUUUCCCUCAUCAUGGUUUUUAUCCCACUGGGUUUUUCCAUGACAAGGUUUUAAUGAGGCAACAAAGAACACACAAAAGAUAGACAUCCAAAGAGAAUGUUACAAUUUGGGAGAUGAAAAUCUAUCAUUGUUCUAAAGUUUUGGAGAUAAAAAGAAUCCAAGAAAUGGUCAGAUCAUAAAGACUCAUGCACUACUGAAGAAUGGUGAAGUUCGUUUCCUACAAGUUCGUUUGAGUAAAUAUUUGGCUGUUUCAUUCACCAAGACGCUACCCCUGCUACUUUCAAGAAGCUCACUCAUCUUAUUGAACUACGCUGUCUCAUAGAUCUCGACGUAUGUACACAUGAGGGGAAGUCAUUGCACACUGCACUCUUUUUUCUUUAACUGUUUUUCCUAUUGGAUUUUCCUGGUGAAGUUUUUAACGAGGCAGCAUCUUACGCGCAUAAUGGACAUCAAGGAGAAGUGUUAUGAAUAUUAUGGUGAUGCCAUUAUGGCAAGUUUUAAAUAUACUUGUUCUCCAAGCUUUACUUGUUCUCCAAGUGGCUUUGUCCACAAGUUAUUAUAAUCCUAUAUAAAUGACUCAUUACUCAUGGAAUAAUACACACAAAUUUCCCUCUUCUCUUUUUUAUUUAUAACAGUUCUUAGCUUCUUCUGUUUCUCAAUUUUUAAUUUUAAAAUUAAAUUAAUUUGACGACGGCUACACGAAAGAUUGAUAAUGAGAGUUUGAUCUUAUCCAAAGUCUCAAUUUUUUUUUAAACUUUGUCAUCUUCUUCUUCUUCUUGAACCAGAACUUUGUCUUUUUUUUUCCUUUUUUACUUAGCUUUCCUAUGUUUAUGUUUUAAAAGUUCUUGGCUGAUCUGUUCGAUUGGGUUUGUUGUUCUUUUCAGUUUGUAAACUGAAUAUUUCUUUAGUUCCUGUUGUUCUAUGAUACUGAAUGUUUCUAUCAACCAGCAGGAGCCAAAAGAGAACUGACCUCCGUGAAGAAGCUUCGGCACUAUAUUGUCUACGGGAGAUGACAAUACUCAUUCAAGGCACCUUUUCCUAUCUACAGAUACACUACAUCAAAGUCUUCGAUUGACUUCUUCAAUUCAUCGUCACCGUCUUCUGCACCCCUGUAACAUUUAAUAUUUAUAUAGUUAGCUUUUGGAAACAAAUGAUAUUGAUGUACAAAAUGAUAUUGGAAAAGAUUAAGGAGAACUUAUAGUUUGCUUUAGUAAAUUCAUUGGUAUACAUUAAUUGGUGGUGCAAAAUGGUUCAUAUUAUGGUCUUAUACCAAAUGAGUAUUAGAGUAAGUGAUAAAAUUUUAAGCAAAUGGUCCCAGCAUUAAGUUUUUUUUUUUCAGGGGAAUCGCUGUAAUACAUUUCACGUGGUGAGUUUCUUCUUUGAACCAAAGCUGCUCCACUGAAAUCUCGCCUCAAGAAGCUGGGAACACCAUUUCCUCCCAUCUAUGUUUCAGAUUGGAAUAGAAGAAGAGUAAGAUGAAGAAAUGACUAUCAGGAAAACGAGUUAUGUUCAACAUUAAACUCGGUGACGGUUGAAGAAGAAUGGAAGAGAAGGGAGUUUCAGACUCUCAACUUACGCUGCUCAUGUUUUUAUCUAACAGGUCACAUGGAACUUUUUAACCGUUCAAAAGGGCAGCAUCAAAACCUAGACAGAUGUUUCUUUUUUUCUCUUUGAACAUCAAUUACUGAUAAAAACAUUUUAUGCUUGACAUAUUCUUCAAUAUCGAAUUUCAACAA